rnacentral:rRNA from 1 species
GGGCCCGCACAAGCGGUGGAGCAUGUGGUUUAAUUCGAUGAUACGCGAGGAACCUUACCAGGGCUUAAAUGUAGUAUGACCGGCUUGGAAACAGGCCUUCUCUUCGGAGCAGAUUACAAGGUGCUGCAUGGUUGUCGUCAGCUCGUGCCGUGAGGUGUUAGGUUAAGUCCUGCAACGAGCGCAACCCCUAUUCUUAGUUGCCAGCGGUUCGGCCGGGGACUCUAAGAAGACUGCCAGCGCAAGCUGAGAGGAAGGUGGGGAUGACGUCAAAUCAUCACGGCCCUUACGUCCUGGGCUACACACGUGCUACAAUGGUAUCUACAACAGGAAGCAAGACUGCGAAGUUAAG